rnacentral:tmRNA from 1 species
GGGGACGUUACGGAUUCGACAGGGAUAGAUUGAGCUCAGACUGCGCGUCGAGGUUACGGCUCGUAAAACGUUACUCGUCUAAAUAUAACUGGCGAAGAAAACAAUUCACCAGCUUUAGCAGCUGCCUAAGCACUGUCUAAAGCGAUCCUUCCUGCUAUCGCCCGUGUGGCAGAUUGAAGGGUCUCAAAUGAAGCGGGCUAUUCCGGCAUCCACCGUCUGAGGAUGCUGGCAGAACCCAAUCAGACUAGCUGCCGGAAAGCCUGUUGGCAGGCCGAACGGUAAGUGAAUGAUAAUUUGUCAACUAUGCGUGUAGAUGUCUGAGUGGCGAUAUCUCUGGACGUGGGUUCGAUUCCCACCGUCUCCACCA